CCGUAUCCUGGUAAUUCCUCUAAUAAUUAUGGUAAUUCCUACAACAAUUCUUAUGGAAAUUUUAAUAAGAUGCCCUCUUAUUUUGAAUCUAAUAUUAAAGAAUUUAUUACCUCGCAAAAGAAUUUCAAUGCUUUGAUUGAAGAAAAAUUGCUUAAGAUUGAUGAGUUGGCUAGGAACGUUGAUAGAAUUUCUCUUGAUGUUGAUUCUGUGAAACUUAGAUCUAUUUCUCCUAAGCAUUAUAUCAAUGAGUCUCUCAAAGCUAUGAUAAUUUCCAUUGAUGAGUGCAAAGCAAGAACCGAUAGGAUGCAUGCUAAGAAAGAUUGCUUUAUAAAAGCGUGUUCUUCUAGUUUCCAUGAUAACAAAGAUGAAGAUCUAAAAGUU
rnacentral:rRNA from 1 species